GGUUAAGCGACUAAGCGUACACGGUGGAUGCCCUGGCAGUCAGAGGCGAUGAAGGACGUGCUAAUCUGCGAAAAGCGCCGGCGAGGUGAUAUGAACCUUUGACCCGGCGAUGUCCGAAUGGGGAAACCCAGUGCAAUUCGUUGCACUAUCGUUAACUGAAUACAUAGGUUAACGAGGCGAACCGGGGGAACUGAAACAUCUAAGUACCCCGAGGAAAAGAAAUCAACCGAGAUUCCCCCAGUAGCGGCGAGCGAACGGGGAGCAGCCCAGAGUCUGAAUCAGCUUGUGUGUUAGUGGAAGCGUCUGGAAAGUCGCACGGUACAGGGUGACAGUCCCGUACACGAAAAUGCACAGGUUGUGAACUCGAAGAGUAGGGCGGGACACGUGGUAUCCUGUCUGAAUAUGGGGGGACCAUCCUCCAAGGCUAAAUACUCCUGACUGACCGAUAGUGAACCAGUACCGUGAGGGAAAGGCGAAAAGAACCCCGGCGAGGGGAGUGAAAAAGAACCUGAAACCGUGUACGUACAAGCAGUGGGAGCACCYUYGUGGUGUGACUGCGUACCUUUUGUAUAAUGGGUCAGCGACUUAUAUUCUGUAGCAAGGUUAACCGUAUAGGGGAGCCGAAGGGAAACCGAGUCUUAACUGGGCGUUAAGUUGCAGGGUAUAGACCCGAAACCCGGUGAUCUAGCCAUGGGCAGGUUGAAGGUUGGGUAACACUAACUGGAGGACCGAACCGACUAAUGUUGAAAAAUUAGCGGAUGACUUGUGGCUGGGGGUGAAAGGCCAAUCAAACCGGGAGAUAGCUGGUUCUCCCCGAAAGCUAUUUAGGUAGCGCCUCGUGAACUCAUCUUCGGGGGUAGAGCACUGUUUCGGCUAGGGGGCCAUCCCGGCUUACCAACCCGAUGCAAACUACGAAUACCGAAGAAUGUUAUCACGGGAGACACACGGCGGGUGCUAACGUCCGUCGUGAAGAGGGAAACAACCCAGACCGCCAGCUAAGGUCCCAAAGUCAUGGUUAAGUGGGAAACGAUGUGGGAAGGCACAGACAGCCAGGAUGUUGGCUUAGAAGCAGCCAUCAUUUAAAGAAAGCGUAAUAGCUCACUGGUCGAGUCGGCCUGCGCGGAAGAUGUAACGGGGCUAAACCAUGCACCGAAGCUGCGGCAGCGACGCUUAKGCGUUGUUGGGUAGGGGAGCGUUCUGUAAGCCGUUGAAGGUGUGCUGUGAGGCAUGCUGGAGGUAUCAGAAGUGCGAAUGCUGACAUAAGUAACGAUAAAGCGGGUGAAAAGCCCGCUCGCCGGAAGACCAAGGGUUCCUGUCCAACGUUAAUCGGGGCAGGGUGAGUCGACCCCUAAGGCGAGGCCGAAAGGCGUAGUCGAUGGGAAACAGGUUAAUAUUCCUGUACUUGGUGUUACUGCGAAGGGGGGACGGAGAAGGCUAUGUUAGCCGGGCGACGGUUGUCCCGGUUUAAGCAUGUAGGCGGAGGUUCCAGGUAAAUCCGGUACCUUUUAACGCUGAGGUGUGAUGACGAGGCACUACGGUGCUGAAGUAACAAAUGCCCUGCUUCCAGGAAAAGCCUCUAAGCAUCAGGUAACAUCAAAUCGUACCCCAAACCGACACAGGUGGUCAGGUAGAGAAUACCAAGGCGCUUGAGAGAACUCGGGUGAAGGAACUAGGCAAAAUGGUGCCGUAACUUCGGGAGAAGGCACGCUGAUAUGUAGGUGAAGCCCCUGCGGGUGGAGCUGAAAUCAGUCGAAGAUACCAGCUGGCUGCAACUGUUUAUUAAAAACACAGCACUGUGCAAACACGAAAGUGGACGUAUACGGUGUGACGCCUGCCCGGUGCCGGAAGGUUAAUUGAUGGGGUUAGCGGYAACGCGAAGCUCUUGAUCGAAGCCCCGGUAAACGGCGGCCGUAACUAUAACGGUCCUAAGGUAGCGAAAUUCCUUGUCGGGUAAGUUCCGACCUGCACGAAUGGCGUAAUGAUGGCCAGGCUGUCUCCACCCGAGACUCAGUGAAAUUGAACUCGCUGUGAAGAUGCAGUGUACCCGCGGCAAGACGGAAAGACCCCGUGAACCUUUACUAUAGCUUGACACUGAACACUGGUCCUUGAUGUGUAGGAUAGGUGGGAGGCUUUGAAGCGUGGACGCCAGUCUGCGUGGAGCCRWCCUUGAAAUACCACCCUUUAAUGGCUGGUGUUCUAACGUAGACCCGURAUCCGGGUUGCGGACAGUGUCUGGUGGGUAGUUUGACUGGGGCGGUCUCCUCCCAAAGAGUAACGGAGGAGCACGAAGGUUAGCUAAUCCUGGUCGGACAUCAGGAGGUUAGUGCAAUGGCAUAAGCUAGCUUGACUGCGAGAGUGACGGCUCGAGCAGGUGCGAAAGCAGGUCAUAGUGAUCCGGUGGUUCUGAAUGGAAGGGCCAUCGCUCAACGGAUCCGGAGUGGACGCAUCACUGGUGUUCGGGUUGUCAUGCCAAUGGCACUGCCCGGUAGCUAAAUGCGGAAAAGAUAAGUGCUGAAAGCAUCUAAGCACGAAACUUGCCCCGAGAUGAGUUCUCCCUGACCCUUUAAGGGUCCUGAAGGAACGUUGAAGACUACGACGUUGAUAGGUCGGGUGUGUAAGCGCAGCGAUGCGUUGAGCUAACCGAUACUAAUGAACCGUGAGGCUUAACCUU
rnacentral:rRNA from 1 species